AAAGCAACAGGUCUUGUAACAGAGCAGAGGGGUCACAGCUCUUAGCAGGCAGCCAUUGCUGGGCCUUAUUCUUCCUGCACCCUGUUACUAGGCAACAGGCCUGGCUCAGCCAUUGGUCGGUUGUCAAUAAGGUCCUGCUCAGCUAUUGGUCAGUCCUGCAGAAGGCCCCGCCCACUGGUAACUGACAAUGAGGGACCCAGGAGGAAGUGACUCAGCUCAAGGGUUGGUGGUGAGGUGGUCGUCAGGUGGAGAGUGAGUUAAGAGUGCCAAGCUUUCUGAUAGUCAAGCUCAUUAUACGAAGCAAACCCUUCAGCCUAGAAUUCUGCACAGCUCCAGGUGCGGUUUCCACAAAUAUGACGUGAGUGGCAGUCAAAUACAAAGUACCGAGGGCUGCUUUUUUAGAAGAUAUUCGAUCUACCAAGCGGACGUUUUCAACCUAGGGAGAUCAGUUUGACAGGGUUAUCGUAAAGCAAAAGAGCUGGUCACAAACAACAGUCAGCAGGUAAUCUCCUGCUUAAUCCAAAUAUGACUUUGAAUAAGACCCUUCCAAAAACAAAAGACAAAAACUUGCCCCCUUAAGCUAAUUAGAUCUCACAAAGGUCUGUGUAUCAAAAGAUACAAAUUCACCAACUCCUUAAAUGCAACCUUAAACAUACCACAAAAGAUUCACACACCCUAUUUUUUAAGAAUAUCCUGAGUUUUAAAGAGGUCAAUGUUUUUACUUUAAUUAUAUAAUUCUAAUUUAAGGCAGGAAGUAACACAUGAAAGUUCUUUGUUUACAUGUUAACUAUAUAUGAAUUGCAUUCUAUUAAAAAGAAAACUGUAUUUUCCUAUGCAUUUCUCCGUUGUGGAAGUGGCCCCAAGAUUGUCUGCUCCCAUAUAAACUAGCAGGAAUACAAACAUACAUACAGUAGCAAAAAGUAUCACAGGAAUGUUCUGUAUGCUCCCCAAGAAAAUUUACCAAAUGAAGAUGCUAAUAUCUAUAAUAAACUCUUUCUACUAAAUAGAAUUCUUACCCCUGAACUACAGUUCAAACUGUCAGAUAAGACUUCUGCAAACAAUUUUUACCAAGCAUACACCUCUGAAAGAUAGGGCAAUUUCAAGAAUCAUUCCAAUAGGAAACAUACAGGAAAUGGCAAGAGAGUGUCUACAGGGCAAGUGAAAACCCACAUGACGACAACCCCAAUAAGGCAGCCACCUCAAACACCCAGAGAACAUUCCAGCGAUGACGGCGGGGCUAAGCAAUGCUACUUACUACUGCCAAGGAUUAACCAUCUACAAACAGACACUGGCUCAAUCCUCACCUCUCAAAUCAGUAUGCUGUACUCGUGACUGGUUCAUUUCACUUAGCAUCAUGUUUUCAAUCCAUGUUUCAAUCAAAGUUCAUCCAUUUGUAGAAUAUGUCAGUACUUCAUUUAUUUUUACUGCCCCACACAUGUUCCAUUACAUGUAUAUACCACAUUUUAUUUGUCAGCUGAUGGACAUUAGGGUUGUUUCUGCUUUUUGGUUAUUAUUAAAAUUGCCACUAUGAACAUUCUUACACAAGUUUUUUUUCACAUACAAGUUUUUAUGAGGACAAGGUUUCAUUUUUCUUGGGUGUAUAUAUACCUAGGAAUGGAAUUGUGCCAGGUCAUAUGUAACUCUUUGUUUAACCUUUUGCAGAAUUCCCAGACUAUUUUCCAAAUACAAAGUGGCUGUACCAUUUUACACUCCCACCACCACUCCAUGAGGGUUUUGACUGCUCUGUGUCUUUGCCAACACUUGCUAUAAUCUUUUUUUGAUCAUAGCCAUCUGAGUAGGUAUGAGACGGUAUUUUGUGAUUUUUUACUUGCAUUUCCCUAGUGGUUAAUGAUGCUAACGUCUUUUCAUGUGCACACCUGUUUUUCAUGAAAACACUUCCUAUAUUUCACCACUGAAUUUGAUGUUGAUUUUUUAAAAAUACUAGCACAUCAUGGAAGUGAUCUGUUCCUAGUUUAAUGAGUGCUGAUUUUUGAAAAUUAGAAAUGAACAUCAAUGCUUUGGAGGAAUAUUUGCUUUGUUUAGUCUGAUGCUAUCAAUAAGAGUAAUGGAUUUUCUUAACCCUUAAGUCUUGGAUUCUUGGUAUAUGGCCAACUUGGAAUCCAUGUAUUACUGUUUUAAUAUUACUUAUAUUUUAUCUGCUAUAAUUUCCUUUUUGGUUUUUCUGCAUCUAUGCUUUUAAGAAACAUUGGUCUACAUUAGCCUAUUUGUGCCACUUUUAUCAGGUGAAAUCAAUUAUGAUUACAUUAAUUAGGAAGCUUUCAACAUACAAAUUAUUUAGUAUUUGAAACAAAUACAGGCACUUUAUACAGAAAGAGUUCUUUAAUAAUUCUUCCAACUUUUUGCUCAGUUAUAGACCCACUCAAUGUUUUCUACUUUUUUUUUUCUUUUACUAAAUCUCAUUUUGACAUCUAUUUUUUUCAAAUUACCUUCUUACUGCUAAUUUUCAAUUUCUUAUAAUCUUUUCAUUCUUGUCUGUGGGCAAAUCCCUCUCUCCUCAACCUUUUUCUGAUUCCUAAUAUUGUAAACUAGGUUCUUACAUUUUUGUAAUUAGGUAUGCAAAGGUUUUUCUUCCAAGUAACAGGUUUUGGAUUUAUGAAGUUAACUUUUCUCUUUUCCAACCAUUCAUUUAUGCUUGUGUUUGCUAAUAAGUGUUUUAACACACUUUUUUGAGUAUAUUAUGUGGUUUUCCUUUGUUAAUUUUUAAAUCCGCAGAUUUGAUAAGCUCAUUAAUUUUCAUUCUUUUUGGUUAAUAACAAGCCUCAAGUCCAAUCAUCUUCCUUCAAGCAAAUCUUUGGCAAGCAUCUUAUGAGUUUUGUUUAUAAUAGUAUCAUUCUUCUUAUUUUCUAGGUAGUUUAUAACUACAGUCUUUAUUUCUUCUCUGAUCCAAGAGUUUUUAAAGAGAAUAUUUUUCAAUUCCCAUGUGAUUGGAUUAUGGUAUUUAAACUUUCGUCCUUAAAUAUUCUACUUUGAACUGCCUGUGAGAAAGAUAUCAUGGAAGAGACAGUGGGAGGAGAAGAGCAAGGAGAUACAGUAGGACACUUCCAUGGGGGGAAAAACCUCAGUUGCAUACUGAUAUGUGCAUAGCUAAAUGAACCAGAGGUCCAGGGGUGAUAUGAGCUUUCCUGGUGGCUCAGAGGUAGAGAAUCCGCCUGCCAGUGAAGGAGACAUGGGUUGGAUCCCU